rnacentral:rRNA from 1 species
CUUUUUGCUGAAGCGACAUUGAGCCCUAUGCACUUUACGGUCUACACACCCAAUACCAUCCCAUCCUCUUGUGGUGUCACUGGGAGCACCUUGCAGAUCUACUCCAUCAGAAUUCUUGAACUAAAAAGAGGAUUGAACUGGCCACUCAAACUGUACGGAGUGGUUGCUGCUCGAGACACGGUGGAUCGCAACCGUAACAUUGUCUUCUCUCGGUCAAGUCGUUACUCUCAAGAACUCAAUGAAGAUGGCUCUUCUUUAUGUUUGACUGGUCCAUCUCGUGCAAUUGUCGCUCUGGGCCCUGUUGACUUUGAAAUUGAACUGAAAAUAGAAGAGGGAGAGGAGUCCCAAGACAAAGAAUUGAUCACUCUUAGCAAGCGGUAUGACGGUACAGGUACCUCUCUCAUGUUCGAGAACAGUUUGUGUGUAGCGGAGCUAAAACUUAAGCAGCUUUCUGAAGCGGUUCAGGCCACUGUCUUGGGUGUAUGCGUUGUUGAAGGGGAUUGGCCUUUCGAACAUGGAUGCCGAGUUGCUUGCACCUUAUCUGCUGCUGCAGAUGAAGUUGUGGCUGAUGCAGAUGAAAUUGUGUUGCUGGAUUGUCGCGGUGAUGAUGAAGAAGUGCGUGUAGGAUCAGAUGGUUACCUUCAUCUGUCAAGGAGUGUUGUCUCAGUGCAAAAACGAGGAACACUGGUAGUUGUCAUACGGACCUACUUGGAGUCUGGUCACGCUGCUCAAGAUUCGAAGGUUGAAUUCCUUGCCAAGCUUUGCCAAACCAGUGAGAGUGAAUGUUCAGUUGGUAACAGCAAGGUAAAGAUCGUUGUUGCUUGGUCCCUCCUUGUCAAGGAGAAG